GCUUCCGCCCGGACCGGAAAAACAGAACACCGGAACUUCCGGUAGCGCCGUAAGAGGGAAAAUCAGGGAAUUCGAUGCACCUGUGCCUAGUUAGGGACAGCGGUUGGUGAUUGGAGGAUACGCUGGACAAGGCAGUACUUAAGGCCAAGUUAUUUCACAGUCUGGGAGCUCUUUCUGGCUGGAAUUGUAUGAUUGUGAAGACAUCGCGAACCUUAAAGGUGGAGAAGUGAACGGAUUAUACGGCGAAUUGAGACGACGUGGAAAAGGGGAUUGGAAGCGGCAUUGAUGUGAGUACUAAGAGCAAGCCGAAAGUGCCCUGUAUAUUGACCUGGCGUUGUGUAGAUCUCUCCAGGAGGAGGAGGGUGGCCCUACCCCUAAUAUAGCGUGGUGGGAGAGCCGAAGGAAUACUUAUUGAAGUAGUCACAACGACGACAUCACUAGCUAGGCCGCAUAUUCCAUCGCCAGAUCCGAACCAAGCGAAGUGAAGGAAGACGGGUGUCCUUUUCGUACACUGAGUGUGGUGGGUGAGUCUUCGUGCUGUGAAAACCUAUAAUUUUGACGUGGUGCUGUAUAUUGCUGUGGGGUGCCUGUGUAUUGCCGUGUGUCCUGUCAGAUAAACCCCCGCCUUCACGCACUUCGUCGCGGGAGGACAAGGAGACUGCUGGUUCUAGCCUAGUUCAGUACAGUAUAUGUUGUGAGCGUGCUUCAGAUCUCGGGAGAUAGCACGGUACGCUGUGUCCAGCCCAGAGGUGAGAGCCAUCCAAAGCAGAGUAACUGUGCUUUGUGUCCAAGUUGAUACCUGUGGAGAGGAAAGGAAAGAGAGAGUGAGUAACACAAGGAGAAACAGAGGAAACCUGUACUUACAGUACGCUGUGUUCAGCCCAGAGGUGAGAGCCAUUCAAAGCAAACUAACUGUGCUAUUGUGCCCAAGUUGAUACCUGUGGAGAGAAAAGGAGAGAGAGUGGGUAACACGAGGAGAGACCGAGGAAACCUGUACUUACGCUGCUGCCUGUGGAGAAAGAGAAAGCGAGUGAGCACCCAAGGAACGAACUGUGUGGACCAGUACUUACUGUGA